CGCCGGAGAAGGAGGCAGCACGAAUGGGAACUCCCGCUUCUGCCAGCACCUAACCCGUAUUUCCUGAAGCCGCCGCACGAGGAACGACUUCGCUCUAGGAAAAACCCUCCUGGUUACCCAUCCUGCCACCCCUAAGGCGGUGGCGUGAUCCCCGCGAAGCUUCCAGGGAGUUCAUUAAAACCCGCCACCCUCUCCCUUGCCCACCGGGCACUCCCAGCAGCCCCGGGGGCCAUGCGGCGGCGAGAGGAAGCCAGCAUUGCAGAGACAACAAAGGCUCAGGGUGCACGACAGAAAAUAGGAAGGGAACGGCCCUCGAAGCCAGCGCGCUCUGAACUCACCGGCUGGAAUGUCCUCUUUCCAGAGACGGCUUGUCUGAUCUACUGAUGGAAUUUGAAAAAUGUGACAUCUGUGUGUGGGUUUGAUCUCUCCGAUAAAGACAGUAAAUAUCUUAUUGUGGUUGUGAAGCUUUGCAUGGAAAACUCCUCCAGGGAUAGUGCAAGGAAGCUGAGGUUCCUCCUGUUGACAAAAAGCCAAGCCUGUGAGGCUCGUCCAGCGGCUGAUGGCCACUUCCUGCCGGGAUUCUUGGGUGGAAUGUUUGGGCAGUUGGCGGCACUCAGGAGAAGGUAUGGGAGGCAGGAAAGUGUCCAUCUCAAGUUAAGAUGGAGAAACAUUGCAUGUGUGGAGGUCACUGAGUGUGGAUUUCAUGGGUUCCGGUGUUUUACAGUUAGCUAAAGGAGAGGCAAACCUUGGUCUCCUGACAUCUUCCCCAGGGCCUACCCCCUCCCUACCUUUGUCCAAUGCCAGGUCUGUGUGGAAGGACGUGCUUCGGAUGCAUGCUGACUGUCUUGGAGUUAAACCAAUCCUCCCAUAGUCAAUG